rnacentral:misc_RNA from 1 species
AACCAUUCUCACCUGCGGCUAGACCUGCGGAGGGAUCAUCAGUGGGAUAGUUUUAUGUUUUAGCCGUGUGAACGGUGCGGGGUGUGUGUGGUGUGGUCAGUUGGUCAGUUGGUCAGUUGGUCUGGCCUGCCUGGCCUGCCUGGCCUGCCUGGCCUGCCUGGCCUGUGUGCACACCGCCACCCUCUGAUACUAACACCUACUACUCUAAUCACGCGCCGCGCUGGCGGCCACAAAUAUCCA